GAUGAAGAACGUAGUGAAAUGCGAUACUUGGUGUGAAUUGCAGAAUCCCGUGAACCAUCGAGUCUUUGAACGCAAGUUGCGCCCGAAGCCAUUAGGCCGAGGGCACGCCUGCCUGAGCGUCACACGUCGUUGCCCCCCCAUCUACUCCUUCGGGAUUGCGGGGGGCGGAUGAUGGCCUCCCGUGCGCCUUGUCGCGCGGUUGGCAUAAAUGCCAAGUCCUCGGCGACGCACGCCACGACAAUCGGUGGUUGCGAAACCUCGGUUGCCCGUCGUGUGCGGUCGUCGCGCAUCGAGGGCUCGAAAAAAUUGUCGGGCUCCGGCUCGGCUUUCAACGCGACCCCAGGUCAGGCGGGGUUACCCGCUGAAUUUAAGCAUAUCAAUAAGCGGAGGA
rnacentral:misc_RNA from 1 species